rnacentral:lncRNA from 1 species
UUAGAUGUUGCUGAAGUGUGUUUAACUUUCUGCAUAGGUACUGGGAAUCAGAUGGUCAUCGAUAUUUUACGUCGAGAGUAUUGCAAGAGUGAGAAGGCUCUCCUUGAGUGGCCUGCUCCUGUACAAGUUGCGGAUGGCUGAUCAACUUUUCGUUCAAUGGCCAAAGCUGCAACAACAAUAUCCCCGAGCUAUCUAUGUUGGCCGUCUCAUGUGAAAAUUUGGUUCCUUUAUUACUAACUUGGAGAAAAUUUUAUUCUAAAUUCAAAUCAGUGAACAUCUUCUGGUUUUGCUUAUGAUGAUUAUUCUUCCUUCUGUUUGAUAAGUUUUUGUUAAGUGAAGUUUCUGUAGUUUCUCUUUGGGACUGCUUAUUGGGAGUUGUACAGAUAACAAUAGAAAUAAAAUCAUGGUCUGUUCUGUUUGAGUUCUCUGUUUGUGCUCAGUAUUUUCCAUGGUUAAAUUGAUGUUUUAGUUCCUGAA